CCUACGGGCGGCAGCAGUCGAGAAUUAUUCACAAUGGGGGAAACCCUGAUGGUGCGACGCCGCGUGGGGGAAUGAAGGUCUUCGGAUUGUAAACCCCUGUCAUGUGGGAGCAAAUUAAAAAGAUAGUACCACAAGAGGAAGAGACGGCUAACUCUGUGCCAGCAGCAGCGGUAAUACAGAGGUCUCAAGCGGUGUUCGGAAUCACUGGGCGUAAAGCGUGCGUAGGCUGUUUCGUAAGUCGUGUGUGAAAGGCGCGGGCCCAACCCGCGGACGGCACAUGAUACUGCGAGACUAGAGUAAUGGAGGGGGAACCGGAAUUCUCGGUGUAGCAGUGAAAUGCGUAGAUAUCGAGAGGAACACUCGUGGCGAAGGCGGGUUCCUGGACAUUAACUGACGCUGAGGCACGAAGGCCAGGGGAGCGAAAGGGAUUAGAUACCCCUGUAGUC
rnacentral:rRNA from 1 species